rnacentral:rRNA from 1 species
UACAGAGGUCCCAAGCGUUGUUCGGAUUCACUGGGCGUAAAGGGUGCGUAGGUGGCCAGGUAAGUUCGGUGUGAAAGCUCGGAGCUUAACUCCGAAAUGGCAUUGAAUACUAUCUGGCUAGAGGGUCGGAGGGGAGACUGGAAUUCUCGGUGUAGCAGUGAAAUGCGUAGAUAUGUGGAGGAAUACCGAUGGCGAAGGCAGCCCCCUGGGAUAACACUGACGCUCAUGCACGAAAGCGUGGGGAGCAAACAGG